rnacentral:rRNA from 1 species
UACGGAGGGUGCAAGCGUUGUUCGGAUUUACUGGGCGUAAAGAGUGCGUAGGCGGUCCUGUAAGUUUGGUGUGAAAUCUCCCGGCUCAACUGGGAGGGUGCGCCGAAGACUGCAGGGCUUGAGUAUGGGAGAGGUAAGCGGAAUUCCUGGUGUAGCGGUGAAAUGCGUAGAUAUCAGGAGGAACACCUGUGGUGUAGACAGCUUACUGGACCAUAACUGACGCUGAGGCACGAAAGCGUGGGUAGCAAACAGG